GAUGAAGAACUCAGCGAAAUGCGAUACUUGGUGUGAAUUGCAGAAUCCCGUGAACCAUCGAGUCUUUGAACGCAAGUUGCGCCUCAAGCCAUUAGGUUGAGGGCACGUCUGCCUGGGCGUCACAUAUCGUUGCCUGAUGCCAGUUUCCUCGUGAUGGGUGACUGUGCAGGGCGAAUGAUGGCUUCCCGUGAGCAUUGUUGCCUCAUGGUUGGUUGAAAAUUGAGUCCUUGGUAGGGAGCGCCGUGAUAGAUGGUGGUUGAGUGACGAACGAGACCCAAUCAUGUGAGACCCCUACCGAAUUUGGCCUUCAUGAGCCACAUGCGUCUUUGGAACGCUCAUGACGAGACCUCAGGUCAGGCGGGGCUACCCGCUGAGUUUAAGCAUAUCAAUAAGCGGAGGA
rnacentral:misc_RNA from 1 species